AGAGAGAGACAUGCGCGCAUAUCAAUAAGCGGAGGAAAAGAAACUAACAAGGAUUCCCUUAGUAACGGCGAGUGAAGCGGGAAGAGCUCAAAUUUGAAAUCUUCAAGGUUCUACCUUGACGAAUUGUAGUUUAUAGAAGUGUUUUCUGUUAGUGGAGUGGCAAAAGUUCUUUGGAAUAGGACAUCAUAGAGGGUGAGAAUCCCGUAUUUGGUCAUUCCUCCUAGCGUUGUGAUACACUUUCAACGAGUCGGAUUGUUUGGGAAUCGCAGUCCAAAGUGGGUGGUAAAUUUCAUCUAAAGCUAAAUAUUGGCGAGAGACCGAUAGCGAACAAGUACCGUGAGGGAAAGAUGAAAAGAACUUUGAAAAGAGAGUUAAACAGUACGUGAAAUUGUCAAAAGGGAAGCGUUUGACACCAGUGUUGUUUUUCCGAUAAUCAAUUACGAAUGUUUUAUUUUUGAGGAGUUAUGACUUCAUCGGCUUGCUCCUUUCUUUAUGAAACUUUCUUAAUGCACUUUUCGGUUAACAAGUCAACAUCAAUUUCUUUUGUUGUAAAAGAGUCAUUGGAAGGUGGCUUUCACUUCGGUGAAAGUGUUUAUAGCCUUGUGCCUCUGCAAUCGGAGAGAUUGAGGUCUGCAGCGUAGAUCCUUCGGGGUUAGAUACGUUUGUGCUAAGUUAUAGCUUUUCAUAGACAACUUGUUGACUAUGUUUAGUCUUGUAGCUUACUCGCUGACGCUAUUUUACCUACGCUUAGGAUGUUGAUAGUCACAGCGUGUAC
rnacentral:rRNA from 1 species